UACAUCGGUGACAGGUGGUGCAUGGUUGUCGUCAGCUCGUGUCGUGAGAUGUUGGUUAAGUCCCGCAACGAGCGCAACCCUAUUGUUAGUUGCCAUCAUUCAGUUGGGCACUCUAGCGAGACUGGACCGGUAAGUAAACCGGAGGGAAGGUGGGGAUGACGUCAAAUCAUCAUGCCCCUUAUGACCUGGGCUACACACGUGCUACAAUGGUUGGUACAACGAGUUGCGAGUCGGUGACGGCGAGCUAAUCUCUUAAAGCCAAUCUCAGUUCGGAUUGUAGGCUGCAACUCGCCUACAUGAAGUCGGAAUCGCUAGUAAUCGCGGAUCAGCACGCCGCGGUGAAUACGUUCCCGGGCCUU
rnacentral:rRNA from 1 species